AGAUGCAGUCCAGUCUGGUGUGACUAUCAUUAUAGAAAAACUACCCAAACACUGUUAAACAGCACGAUGGGCCACUUUGAUGUUCAGCAUGUCCCAACUGCAAAGCCAAAGGGGUGGUUAGUGAUAAUUAGCGCUCCUUCAAUUGAACCCACCCCACCCCCCCCGCUGUCAGUUCACGAGGCACGGAGGCUGCCACGGCGCUGUCAGGGGCUGCAGGAGGAUGUAGCUGUCACUCACUUGCGCUGAUGGGGGCAAGAUGGUUCUGAUGACAGGGAUGGAUGCAAGUGGGCUGGGGUGAUCGAGGAAGUUGGUGAGGGAGCUUAUGAGAACAAUUAGUCCUCAUUUCAAGAGCACGUUUUCAGAAAUGUGAUAGUGCACAGAUGAAGUUGACAGCAAUACAAACACUUCAAGACAGAACUGUGCAAAUAAAAGCAUAACAUUAAAAUUAAAUGAGUAUUUUUGCAAAAUA